ensembl:miRNA MIR569 microRNA 569
GGUAUUGUUAGAUUAAUUUUGUGGGACAUUAACAACAGCAUCAGCAGCAACAUCAGCUUUAGUUAAUGAAUCCUGGAAAGUUAAGUGACUUUAUUU